rnacentral:rRNA from 1 species
CUUGGUCAUUUAGAGGAAGUAAAAGUCGUAACAAGGUUUCCGUAGCUCAAGUCUACGAAGAACAGCAAUGUUCCUUCCGCAGAGUACACUUGCAGAAGCCUUAGUGGCCCGAAAGGGUUUCAUCAGCGACUCUAAACAAGUAGGUGAAUUAAAUGCUAGUCUCUUUAGAAGAGGCAACACUAUCAAAUUGCGGGAAGAUCCUGUCAGGUCCACAUCACCGCGGCUCACCGAAAGGUGUAGUGCAGCACCAGGCUAACAACCUUGGGUAUGGUAAUAGUAUGUGGAAUAGGGAGAAUCUGCAGCCAAGCCCCUCUCUUGGGGUGCAGUUCACAGGCCAAAUGGUAGUGGGCACUCUGGUGCUUAAGAUAUGGUCGAGUCCCAAUUGAAAAGUUGGGUACAAGUACUCUGAUUGAUUACAUGCAGUCCAUGCUCGUUGUAAAUGCAAAUGUUCCGUAGGUGAACCUGC